rnacentral:misc_RNA from 1 species
AAAAAAAAAUUUAAUGAAUGUCGGGGGGUUUUCUGCCUCCCGAGUAUUCAACCAACCCGCUCGUGUAUUUGUACCAAACAAACAAAAUUUUAAAAUAUUGAUAAAAUAAUUAAUAAAAAAAA